rnacentral:rRNA from 1 species
ACGGGAGGCAGCAGUGGGGAAUAUUGGACAAUGGGGGAAACCCUGAUCCAGCGACGCCGCGUGAGUGAAGAAGUAUUUCGGUAUGUAAAGCUCUAUCAGCAAGGAAGAAAAUGACGGUACUUGACUAAGAAGCUCCGGCUAAAUACGUGCCAGCAGCCGCGGUAAUACGUAUGGAGCAAGCGUUAUCCGGAUUUACUGGGUGUAAAGGGAGCGUAGACGGCGAAGCAAGUCUGAAGUGAAAUGCCGGGGCUUAACCCCGGAACUGCUUUGGAAACUGUUUUGCUAGAGUGCAGGAGAGGUAAGCGGAAUUCCUAGUGUAGCGGUGAAAUGCGUAGAUAUUAGGAGGAACACCAGUGGCGAAGGCGGCUUUCUGGACUGUUACUGACACUGAGGCACGAAAGUGUGGGGAGCAAACAGGAUUAGAUACCCUGGUA